AAUUUUUAAUUCAGUCAACUCAAUGGCCUCGAAAAAGUUAAUUCUACAUGUUUUAUCAUUUCAUCACUCCUGAUCAUGAUGUUGAAACUUGUAGAGUCAACUUUUUGGAGGCCGUAGAUUGGCCUGAAUUGAUAAUGUUUUUAAUUGUGUACCCAUUUCAACAAAUGCAUUAUUUAUUAUUUUAAUAAAUUGGUUUGUUUUACCUGUGUGUGUGAGUUGCUGUAUUUGAGAAAAUGAAAUAACCCUUAUCAGAAACUAUAUAUAUAGUGGUGAAGUCUUGUGCCCAUCACACUCAGAGGCAGCUAAUUCAAGUUUCGUGUCUCCUGGUUUCCAAGAUCUAAGAAAACUGACUCCAGAUCUCAGUGUUUCUACAAAUAAGGAGAUUCAAACUGUCUCUAACUGUAACUCACGACAAGACUCUGCGAAGGUGGAUACCUGUGUAGCAGAGCUACGUAAUGUUGUGGGAGAGUCUCUACCACAUGAAGAGUUAUUACGCAUUUCCCAGGUGGCUAGCUGUGAUGUCAACCAUGCUCUUGAUAUGCUUUUCUGCUGAAUCUGACAGUUUUAAACAUUUUGUCAUUUGGCUGAGUUUUUUAAGACAAUGCUGUAUUUAUUAGGUAUUUCAUUAGAGUGGUCCACUGUAUCUAAGUGAAAAGAAACAGUUCAAAGUUCA